UCUGGCUCAGGAUGAACGCUGGCGGCGUGCUUACACAUGCAAGUCGAACGGUGAAGCCUGCUAUUAUAGUGGGUGGAUCAGUGGCGGACUGGUGAGUAACACGUAGGUGACCUGCCCCAAAGAGGAGAAUAACUUGACGAAAGUGAAGCUAAUACUCCAUGUGGUCAAUCAUUCGGUUGAUUGAUUAAAGCUAAGGCGCUUUGGGAGGGGCUUGCGGCCCAUCAGCUAGUUGGUAGGGUAAAGGCCUACCAAGGCGAAGACGGGUAGCUGGUCUGAGAGGACGAUCAGCCACAAUGGCACUGAAACACGGGCCAUACUCCUACGGGAGGCAGCAGUGAGGAAUAUUGCACAAUCGACGCAAGUCGGAUGCAGCAACGCCGCGUGGACGAUGAAGGCCUUCGGGUUGUAAAGUCCUUUUAAGAGGGACGAGGAAGGACGGUACCUCUUGAAUAAGUCUCGGCUAACUACGUGCCAGCAGCCGCGGUAACACGUAGGAGGCGAGCGUUAUCCGGAUUUAUUGGGCGUAAAGCGCAUGCAGGUGGCUAGGUAAGUCGGGUGUGAAAGCCCCGGACUUAAUCCGGGGAGGUCAUUCGAUACUGCUUGGCUUGAGAGCGGGAGAGGGAAGUGGAAUUCUCGGUGUAGUGGUGAUAUGCGUAGAUAUCGAGAGGAACACCAGUGGCGAAGGCGGCUUCCUGGCCCGUAUCUGACACUAAGAUGCGAAAGCGUGGGUAGCAAACGGACUUAGAUACUCCGGUAGUCCACGCUGUAAACGAUGGGUACUAGGUGUAGGGGGUGUAAAACUCUCUGUGCCAUAGUUAACGCACUAAGUACCCCGCCUGGGGACUACGGUCGC
rnacentral:rRNA from 1 species